CUCUACGCUCACGGGCUCUGACCAAGCGCUCCAGGGGCCUUGGUAGGUGGGGCCGUUGAGCCUGGCGCGCAGCUGUAAGCGGUAGCGAGAUCGGGGGCGCAGCUCCAGGCUCCCUCCCCGGGCCCCAAGAGGCGGUUCCAGCACCUGUGCAGAAGAAAGGUUUAUGCCUCUCUCCCUGACAUCAAACCCAAUCAAAAGUUAAAUGCUUACCUGUCUCCAGGGCAGCACUGAGCCUUGUUGUGGUAGAAGAAGCCUUGGGAUUGAGUAUGGUUCUGUUGCUGCCACUGACAGGUAACAUUCAUCAGGUCCAAGGUAAAGCAUUGCAGGCCAAUUGCCACUAAGUUUAUACCACUUAAUGGCAACUUGGAGAUGAUCAAGAAGCAACUUGGAGAUGAUCAGGAAGCAACUUGGAGAUGAUCAGGAAGCACCAUGGUUCCCAAAGCCUCCACUUCCAGCCUAAGCCCGAUUAGACAUCUUUUAAAAUCUCUUCUCUACUUCUCCAGUCCCUUCAUUGACUCACCUGCAUCCCUAGGCAGGGCUACAGUUACAGGGAGGGACCAGGGCCCCCAGGAACCACUGAAAGAGAUUCCAUCAGGUUGGCUGCGCAGCUGGAGCCAGUAAGAAUUGCCAGGCAGGAGUCCGGAAAUGAGGCAGCUUCCACCCAUCACAGGCAGAGAUGGAACCUUGGGGAAAAAAGUCCCAGCAUUGGAAUCUAGACCACCUUCUAGCCAAGACAACCUCUACCUCUUUAUAGUUGGAGUCUUAUAGCACCUCUGUGCAAAGGUCAGUUCCUUACUUAAUACACACACAGAUUGAGGACUAGGUCAGUGUGUAUUAAGUGGUGUUCAGGGAUUUUUAGGAAGGUCUCCAUCUAUUUGGAGGCCUGAAGCCCUCAAUUUUUUUUUGUACCAGGAAUUAAUCUCAAGACCUUGCGCUUGCUAGGCAGGUGUGUAAGCCCUCGAUUUUGUCAGUGCAAAUGACCCAAAGUGAGAGACCGUUAAACAGAGAUGGCUCCUGAGGGCAGGCUCCAAGGCUGUCCUAAUUCUGUAAGGACCAAUCCCACCUGGAAUCUCCAAAGUACAGAAAAAAAUUGAGGGUAAGGAAUAGGAGGUAGAGCAGAACAAUGUUAGAAUACUUCUCUGGUUGGGGAAGUCUGCCUUGGCCCGUGCUGUUGGGGUGCUGUGGGUUGAACACAUGGAGGCUGGUCCAAAGCAGGAGCUGGGUUUGGCCUCCUUAGAGUGGGGCAGCAGGUCUCUGUGGGGAGCAGCCGCAUGACUCUGGGGUCGGUGGUGUUCUUGGGAUCCACAGGGCCAUAGCGGAGUUCAUGCCUCAGGAAGUCACUAAUUUCAGGAGCCGGAGCCUCCCAACGUAGCUGAAGUUCCCCUGGCUGGCUCCCACCCGUGGCCCUGAUGACACUGGGGGGAGCUGGCAGGCCUGAGGGCAAGACAAGGCACAUCAAAACUCAGACUGCUUGAUUCGACCUGUAGAUUACUGAGGAUGCUGGAGACUGAACUGGGGCAGAGUGGAGGUGGGGCAGAGUAGGAAGGCUUUGUAUCCUGUUCUUUCCUCAUGAGAACAGUGACAAUGGUUUGUUAGAUUCUGUGCUCUUAAAAGCAGGGAUGUCAAGGGGAUUUAGCUCAGUGGCAUAAGUGCCUGCCUGGCAAGUGUGAGGUCUUGAAUCCCCGAUACCAAAAAGUAAAAAAAAAGACAAACAGGGACUUCUUUUCAUUUCUUUAUUCUCGUCACCUGUCAUAGUGCCUGGCACACAGUAGGUAAUUUGUAACUGUGUAAUAGAUGAGUAAAAGAAUAUGGUAAUAAUGGGAAGACUAGGAUGUCCCUUGUGUGAAAUGAUUUGUGGGAUAAUUCUAGCUUUGGAUGGGAGUCUGGGAGAGAUGAUAAAGGGGGUCUUGAGAUGCCUCCCGGGGGGUCUAAUAAUGAGGACACUCAUGUUUUCUUGAAAGACUGCAGACAAGUCUCAUUCCACAAACUGGACAGCAGACCUCAAAUGGAGGGAGUAGGGUGACAGAGAUGUCCUUACCCACAGUAUCCACAGACAGUACCCACUCAGUCAGAGUCCGGUUCAGGAACACAUCCUUCACCCAAAAGUGCAGCUUAGAGAAAAGGCGCACUUCAUCCUGGGCUGGAAACUGGCACAUGUAUCGGGUUCCAGAGGGGGGCACGCUCUGGGAACUCAGAGGACAGGCACGAGGCUUCUCUCUGUUGAUACAGGAGACAUUCUGCCUACACAGAUACCAUAUUCAACUCUGAAGACCCUGGAUUUAGCCUGUCCCCAACUUCUGUUUCCAUUCCCUCUAUUCUUUGGAGAGAAUGUGUUUUAUAUAAAGGCUUGGGGUUGGCUGUUCAUAAAGCAACUAUUUAGGGCGUAGACUUGAAAUAACCCUCUGAUAGGGCCAAAGACAGGGAAUCUAACAGAGUUGGACUCAGCUGAAUGAAGUGCAGGGACAGAUAUACAGGGAGUGUGGCGCAGCCCAGCACCUACCCUGAGUAGGCAUACAGCAGCUGAUAUGUCCCACUGGGUGCUGCCUCUUCCUCAUCCCAGAAGCAAGUGAGGUCCUCAAAUGUUUGGGAGAAACAGUUCAGGGGCUUUGAAUCCGAGGUCAGCAAGGAAACAUCUGAGGAACAGCUGGUGAGUUGGGUUCUGGGUCCUUCCAGGUAUGUUUAUGGGCAAGUGUAGGGGAGCAUGGAAGUCUGCUACCCUGCAUCCCCUCCCAGGGACCUGCAUCCCUUCCAAAAGCUCCCUCUUCCUGGGCAUAGGUGAUCUCCACCCUCUAUACACCUCACCUUGGCUGGUGACUUGUGCCAGGUUUUGGGGGGCCAGAAGGAGGCAGGAGGGGACCACAAAGAGGGCCCAAGAGGGCAUCUUCUCCGGCACUGUGCCUGCCCUAGCCCAUCCUCCCUUCAGGAAGCCGGGCCCCAAUCCCCUCCCGGGCCAGCCCCUCAGGUUCCUGUCAGAUACAACCCCACGUCCUGUCCCUGUCCCUGCCCCUCUGGGGCCCAUCCGACCACACUGGGGCCAGGCCCCAGGGGAGGGGGAGUGGGCUGGAGGGUACGAGAAAUUUGAAAGAGAAGACAUCAACCCUUUGGUGGGAGGGAGAUGGGAGAAUAUAUAUUUGUGCACUAGAAGAAAAAAAGUGAGUGUGUGUCUGUGUUAACUAUUAUAGCUGUCACUAAGAAAGGCAACAUUUACUGAGCUACCAUGUAUUAAAUAAACACUCUGUACCUAUGA